AAUCGCCCAGCUGUCCCCUCAGACGGCAGCCCGUGGCCGUCCCCUUCGCCGUGGGAUGCGGGGAUUUGGGGCGGCUGAAGGAGUCGGGGCCCCCACCACCUCAGCGCUGCUGCCCUCACAGGGGCCGGGCCUCCCCGAGCCUCCAGUGCUUGUUGAGGUUUCAGUCUCCAUUCUGCUGAUCCGAAAGAAAGAAGGCGGCUUUUGGAGGACUUAAUCAUGGCGAGUCGAGCUGCUGCUGAACCUCCCCUUCCAACAUCCAGCAGGUUUGUUCUGCAGGUCCCAAUGAUGGCACAGGCAUGAAAGAGCCCAGAGCUCGUCGCUGGGGAGAGGCUGCGUAUGGCGUUGUGAAGGGAGAGAUGGAGGAGGGGUUUGAGCAGCGCUGUGCAGGAAUGAACGGCUGGUAAGAGAAGAGGCAGGAGUCGGGCAGCGGUACUGCAGCUCCUCUGGCAGCUUUGCAGCUCAGCUGGGAAGCAGAAGAUGUGGAUGUGAAAGAAGAAGUCCGUUGCUGGGACGUUCCCCUGUUCUUCCCCCAGCUGUCCCCUUGCUUUCCACAAGGCUGCCCUUUCCUUUCUCAUGACAGCCCACCCAUCAUUCCCUCAGAGCCCAUAUAUCCCUCCCAGUGUUUCCCAGCAAGACCCCUAGAGACACCCUGUAGCCCCCCACAGAGCCCUGGAGCCCCUCAAGGACCCCCUCAGACGCAGUACACCUCC